rnacentral:rRNA from 1 species
GACGAACCGUGCGAACGUUGUUCGGAAUCACUGGGCUUAAAGGGCGCGUAGGCGGCUGGGUAAGUCUCGGGUGAAAUCUUUCGGCUCAACCGGAAACGUGCCUGGGAUACUGCUCAGCUAGAGGGAGGUAGGGGCGGACGGAACUUCCGGUGGAGCGGUGAAAUGCGUAGAUAUCGGGAGGAACACCAGUGGCGAAGGCGACUACCUGGCCUGUUCUUGACGCUGAGGCGCGAAAGCUAGGGGAGCAAACGGG